CCCUUAGAUGUUCUGGGCCGCACGCGCGCUACACUGAUGCAUUCAACGAGUCUAAAACCUGCUCUGAUAGGGGUGGGUAAUCUUUUGAAUGUGCAUCGUGAUUGGGAUAGAUGAUUGCAAUUUUUCAUCUUCAACGAGGAAUGCCUAAUAAACGCAAGUCAUCAGCUUGCAUUGAUUACGUCCCUGCCCUUUGUACACACCGCCCGUCGCUCCUACCGAUUGAAUGAUCCGAUGAAUAUCAUGGAUUGAGGAUGCAAGUAGGUUCGCCUAUCUUCAUCUUCGAGAAGUGAAGUAAAUCUUAUCAUUUAGAGGAAGGAGAAGUCGUAACA
rnacentral:rRNA from 1 species